AUGUCCGGCUGUAGAUGCUCUGAUCUUGAAUUUGUAUGUCUCUACGCCCCACGGGCAGACUUGACGACAAGCCGCUCACAGUGGGUUCGUACUGCGUAUGCCACUGCUUUUGCUAACGACCCCAUGGAAACAUGCCAGCUGUUCCUUUGGCUCGCGCAGGUUCAGGCGUGGCAUUGCCCGUUCUGCUCUUCUGCCCAAAUUCAGAGUUCAGAGAGACAACCUGUCACAAGUGUAUUCCCCGCUGCCACCUUCUUCUUAGUUCUUCCUCUAUGUGAAACAAUCUAUCCAACAAAGCCUCUGCCCGGACCACCCCUGAAGAAAUUUAUAUUUGGGACAAACAAUCUAUCCAACAAGGUUCCAUCGAUCUACUAUCAUCAUUGCAAUCUUAUGGAACUUGUGAAAAUGACGGAUUGCAGCGGUGUUCCGCCAUGA
rnacentral:rRNA from 1 species